rnacentral:tRNA from 1 species
GCCUUCGUGCUGUAGUGGUCAGCAUUCUGGGCGCGUAAUCCAGAAGUUUGUGGUUCGAGUCCUAGCGAAGGCG